CCUACGGGCGGCAGCAGUGAGGAAUAUUGGUCAAUGGACGAGAGUCUGAACCAGCCAAGUAGCGUGAAGGAUGACUGCCCUAUGGGUUGUAAACUUCUCUUAUAUGGGAAUAAAAUGUUCCACGUGUGGGAUUUUGUAUGUACCAUAUGAAUAAGGAUCGGCUAACUCCGUGCCAGCAGCCGCGGUAAUACGGAGGAUCCGAGCGUUAUCCGGAUUUAUUGGGUUUAGGGGGAGCGUAGGUGGAUUGUUAAGUCAGUUGUGAAAGUUUGCGGCUCAACCGUAGAAUUGCAGUUGAAACUGGCAGUCUAGAGUACAGUAGAGGUGGGCGGAAUUCGUGGUGUAGCGGUGAAAUGCUUAGAUAUCACGAAGAACUCCGAUUGCGAAGGCAGCUCACUGGACUGCAACUGACACUGAGGCUCGAAAGUGUGGGUAUCAAACAGGAUUAGAUACCCGAGUAGUC
rnacentral:rRNA from 1 species